UACAGAGGUCUCAAGCGUUGUUCGGAUUCAUUGGGCGUAAAGGGUGCGUAGGUGGCGUCGUAAGUCGGUGUGAAUUUCGGAGCUUAACUCCGAAACUGCAUUCGAUACUGCGGUGCUUGAGGACUGGAGAGGAGACUGGAAUUUGACGGUGAGCAGUGAAAUGCGUAGAGAGUCGUAAGGAAGACCAGUGGCGAAGGCGGGUCUCGUGGACAAG
rnacentral:rRNA from 1 species